rnacentral:rRNA from 1 species
GAUCAUGGCUCAGGAUGAACGCUAGCUACAGGCCUAACACAUGCAAGUCGAGGGGCAGCAUGUCGGUAGCUUGCUACCGAUGAUGGCGACCGGCGAAUGGGUGAGUCACGCGUGUCCAACCUGCCCCCGCCCGGGGAUAGCCCUUGGAAAUGAGGAUUAAGACCCGAUACGUGGCGUUUCCGCAUGGCGGCGCCAUGAAACCAGGCGGGGAUGGGGACGCGUCGGAUUAGCUUGACGGCGGGCAACGGCCCACCGUGGCGACGAUCCGCAGGGUUCUGAGAGGAAGGUCCCCCACAUUGGAACUGAGACACGGUCCAAACUCCUACGGGAGGCAGCAGUGAGGAAUAUUGGUCAAUGGGCGCGAGCCUGAACCAGCCAAGUAGCGUGCAGGAAGACGGCCCUAUGGGUUGUAAACUGCUUUUGUGCGGGAAUAAAGUCAGGGACGUGUCCCUGUUUGCAUGUACCGCAAGGAUAAGGACCGGCUAAUUCCGUGCCAGCCGCUGC